rnacentral:rRNA from 1 species
GAGGGAUCAUUACUGAGUUAAAGUGGAUUUAUUCACUAACUCCCACCCUUUUGUAUGUCUUAUCCUUGUUUUCUCGGGGAGAUGAGGUUUUUGAGGUCUAACGACUUCAACGAUACUCACCCCGGUGAAUCAAUUAUACUCUGUUUUAAUUAUCAGUCUGAAUAAACAAGUUUUAAUACUUAAACAAAACUUUCAACAACGGAUCUCUUGGUUCUGGCAUCGAUGAAGAACGCAGCGAAAUGCGAUAAGUAAUGUGAAUUGCAGAAUUUUGUGAAUCAUCGAAUCUUUGAACGCACAUUGCGCCCCUUGGUAUUCCGGGGGGCAUGCCUGUUCGAGCGUCAUUACACCAAUCAAGUCUCACUUGGUAUUGAAGGAUGUGAUUUAUCUACUGAAUUGCACCUUUUGAAUUCUUCCGGCUGGUUUUAUUGAAUACCCAAAGCGUUGUGGAAACUAUUCGCUAUAUGGAUAAUCAUUGAUUCACGCCGUUAAUCAAAUUCUUAUCAAAGGUUGACCUCGGAUCAGGUAGGAAUACCCGCUGAACUUAAGCAUAUCAAUAAGCGGAGGAAAAGAAACCAACAGGGAUUGCCUCAGUAACGGCGAGUGAAGCGGCAACAGCUCAAAUUUGAAAUCUAACGUCUUUGGCGUUCGAGUUGUAAUUUGUAGAGGAUGCUUCUAGGCAGCGGUCGGUCUAAGUUCCUUGGAACAGGACGUCAUAGAGGGUGAGAAUCCCGUAUGUGAUUGACUUGCACCUUACACGUAGCUCCUUCGACGAGUCGAGUUGUUUGGGAAUGCAGCUCUAAAUGGGAGGUAAAUUUCUUCUAAAGCUAAAUAUCUGCCAGAGACCGAUAGCGCACAAGUAGAGUGAUCGAAAGAUGAAAAGCACUUUGGAAAGAGAGUUAAAAAGCACGUGAAAUUGUUGAAAGGGAAGCGUUUGCAACCAGACUUGUCUGCGGUGUUCAACCGGUCUUUUGGCUGGUCUACUCAUCGUAAGCAGGCCAACAUCAUUUGGAGUCGUGGGAUAAUAGUUUUGGAAUGUAGCUCCCUCGGGAGUGUUAUAGCCAAUUCUGAUGCCAUGAAUUCCGAAUGAGGUCCGCGCA